rnacentral:rRNA from 1 species
UGGUCAAUGGCCGAGAGGCUGAACCAGCCAAGUCGCGUGAAGGAAGAAGGAUCUAUGGUUUGUAAACUUCUUUUAUAGGGGAAUAAAGUGGAGGACGUGUCCUUUUUUGUAUGUACCCUAUGAAUAAGCAUCGGCUAACUCCGUGCCAGCAGCCGCGGUAAUACGGAGGAUCCGAGCGUUAUCCGGAUUUAUUGGGUUUAAAGGGUGCGUAGGUGGUGAUUUAAGUCAGCGGUGAAAGUUUGUGGCUCAACCAUAAAAUUGCCGUUGAAACUGGGUUACUUGAGUGUGUUUGAGGUAGGCGGAAUGCGUGGUGUAGCGGUGAAAUGCAUAGAUAUCACGCAGAACUCCGAUUGCGAAGGCAGCUUACUAAACCAUAACUGACACUGAAGCACGAAAGCGUGGGGAUCAAACAGGAUUAGAUACCCUGGUAGUCCACGCAGUAAACGAUGAUUACUAGGAGUUUGCGAUACAAUGUAAGCUCUACAGCGAAAGCGUUAAGUAAUCCACCUGGGGAGUACGCCGGCAACGGUGAAACUCAAAGGAAUUGACGGGGGCCCGCACAAGCGGAGGAACAUGUGGUUUAAUUCGAUGAUACGCGAGGAACCUUACCCGGGUUUGAACGUAGUCUGACCGGAGUGGAAACACUCCUUCUAGCAAUAGCAGAUUACGAGGUGCUGCAUGGUUGUCGUCAGCUCGUGCCGUGAGGUGUCGGCUUAAGUGCCAUAACGAGCGCAACCCUUAUCACUAGUUACUAACAGGUGAAGCUGAGGACUCUGGUGAGACUGCCAGCGUAAGCUGUGAGGAAGGUGGGGAUGACGUCAAAUCAGCACGGCCCUUACAUCCGGGGCGACACACGUGUUACAAUGGCAUGGACAAAGGGCAGCUACCUGGCGACAGGAUGCUAAUCUCCAAACCAUGUCUCAGUUCGGAUCGGAGUCUGCAACUCGACUCCGUGAAGCUGGAUUCGCUAGUAAUCGCGCAUCAGCCAUGGCGCGGUGAAUACGUUCCCGGGCCUUGUACACACCGCCCGUCAAGCCAUGGGAGCCGGGGGUACCUGAAGUCCGUAACCGCAAGGAUCGGCCUAGGGUAAAACUGGUGACUGGGGCUAAGUCGUAACAAGGUAGCCGUACCGGAAGGUGCGGCUG